GGUUUAGUGGUCUAGUGGUAUGGUUCUCGCUUUGGGUGCGAGAGAUCCGGGGUUUAAUUCCCCGCUAAUCCC
rnacentral:tRNA from 1 species